AACGGCCGUACCAUGCUGAAUAUACCGGCUCUCGUUAGAUCACCGAAGUUAAGCAUCAUUGGGCGCGGUCAGUACUUGGGUGGGUGACCACCUGGGAACACUGCGUGCCGUU
rnacentral:rRNA from 1 species